ACGCUGGCGGCGUGCCUAAUACAUGAAGUAGAACGCUGAAGAGAGGAGCUUGCUCUUCUUGAAUGAGUUGCGAACGGGUGAGUAACGCGUAGGUAACCUGCCUUGUAGCGGGGGAUAACUAUUGGAAACGAUAGCUAAUACCGCAUAACAAUGGGUGACACAUGUCAUUUAUUUGAAAGGGGCAAUUGCUCCACUACAAGAUGGACCUGCGUUGUAUUAGCUAGUAGGUGAGGUAACGGCUCACCUAGGCGACGAUACAUAGCCGACCUGAGAGGGUGAUCGGCCACACUGGGACUGAGACACGGCCCAGACUCCUACGGGAGGCAGCAGUAGGGAAUCUUCGGCAAUGGGGGCAACCCUGACCGAGCAACGCCGCGUGAGUGAAGAAGGUUUUCGGAUCGUAAAGCUCUGUUGUAAGUCAAGAACGAGUGUGAGAGUGGAAAGUUCACACUGUGACGGUAGCUUACCAGAAAGGGACGGCUAACUACGUGCCAGCAGCCGCGGUAAUACGUAGGUCCCGAGCGUUGUCCGGAUUUAUUGGGCGUAAAGCGAGCGCAGGCGGUUUGAUAAGUCUGAAGUUAAAGGCUGUGGCUCAACCAUAGUUCGCUUUGGAAACUGUCAAACUUGAGUGCAGAAGGGGAGAGUGGAAUUCCAUGUGUAGCGGUGAAAUGCGUAGAUAUAUGGAGGAACACCGGUGGCGAAAGCGGCUCUCUGGUCUGUAACUGACGCUGAGGCUCGAAAGCGUGGGGAGCGAACAGGAUUAGAUACCCUGGUAGUCCACGCCGUAAACGAUGAGUGCUAGGUGUUGGAUCCUUUCCGGGAUUCAGUGCCGCAGCUAACGCAUUAAGCACUCCGCCUGGGGAGUACGACCGCAAGGUUGAAACUCAAAGGAAUUGACGGGGGCCCGCA
rnacentral:rRNA from 1 species